rnacentral:rRNA from 1 species
UUGCUCCUACGGGGCGCAGCAGUGAGGAAUAUUGGUCAAUGGCCGAGAGGCUGAACCAGCCAAGUCGCGUGAGGGAAGACGGCCCUACGGGUUGUAAACCUCUUUUGUCGGGGAGCAAAGCGAGUCACGUGUGACUCAUUGAGAGUACCCGAAGAAAAAGCAUCGGCUAACUCCGUGCCAGCAGCCGCGGUAAUACGGAGGAUGCGAGCGUUAUCCGGAUUUAUUGGGUUUAAAGGGUGCGCAGGCGGGAGAUCAAGUCAGCGGUAAAAUGUCGGGGCUCAACCCCGGCCGGCCGUUGAAACUGG